GGAGACGGCAUCAUAAAAUUGUCAACUUUUUGUGUUUAUAAUCGCGAAAAUUGGCGAUUUUAUUUUGCUUUUGCGGUGCCUGUCUCUUGUUGUCGGUUGCGUUGAAGGAUUUACGUGCGUGGCGUCAGGAUGAUGGAAUCGCAUAUCUGUAUCUGCUUGUUUACCUCGCAAGUUUUACGUUUUUCUGUUAUCUGAAAAUAAUUGAACGUACCAUACUGCGGAAAAUUAUGCAUUUUAGAGACGGAUUUUGAGACUUUUUAAAAAAUGGUGUCAGCUCCGCGCUAGUGAUCCUUAAACGUGCAGUGGCAUCAAGAGGUGGAGACGGCGUCGUAAAGUUGUCAAUUUUUUGGGUUUAUAAUCGCGAUAGCUGCCGGUUUUGUUUUUCUAUUGUGGAGACCGCCUCUUCUUGUAGGUUGCAUUGGAUCACCAUUAGGCUGUGGUCAAGGAGGUAAGAGCAAUAUUUGAUUGUUUUGUUUAAUUUUUUAUUGGUUAAUUGUUUUGUUUUCAGGUUUUAGCGUCAAUUAAUGUAGGCGCUCGUCGUUCUGGGAUCGGCCCGUCUAUUGCAGCGCAGCAUGCAAGUAGGUUGUAUCGGUGAUAAGAGAUACUACCAGGGACUGUGUGGCAAGAAGAUUCAGGUAAGUGACGUUGUGCAUAAAUUGCUGCGGCGAGUCGCCUCUUAUUCAUCAUGUUUCUGCCACACUAAUCCUUUUCAUAUCGAUCUACCGAUUCGUCGAUUAUGUCCUGGUUGAUUUUCCCCGCAUCGUUUCGUCAGGUUCAGCUAGAGUGCGUUGUCUUAGGCUUGUUCAUCCGGAUGCGUUGAGGUGAGAGUAUUGUUUAUGUUUUAUUGCGAUUAUCUAAUUGAAUUUAUAUUCCAGGAAAGUUAGGCUGGGUCGAGGAAGGUGAUGACCUUGCAUGAGUUUGGGAGCAGACUGACGUGCGCUUUUCAUCGGAUAUAGAUGUCGUUAGAAUAGAUAUAAAGAGAUGUGGGUUUAAAUGGAUGUUUCCAUGUCAAGAUUGUAAUCUCUUCCUUGUAUGAUUAAGGCCAAUAAACUGUCAAUUUUCUUCUCUAAA